rnacentral:rRNA from 1 species
GACGAACGCUGGCGGCGUGCUUAACACAUGCAAGUCGAACGAGAAUUGAUCUUUAGUUUACUAGAGAUCAAGGAAAGUGGCGAACGGGUGAGUAACGCGUAGGUAACCAACCUUACACAGGGGGAUAGCCCCGGGAAACUGGGAGUAAUACCGCAUAAGACCACGGCAUCGCAUGGUGCAGUGAAGAAAGAAUUUCGCUCUGAGAGGGUCUCGCGGCCUAUCAGCUUGUGGUGGGGUAACGGCCCACCAAGGCAACGACGGGUAGCUGGUUUGAGAGAACGAUCAGCCACACUGGGACUGAGACACGGCCCAGACUCCUACGGGAGGCAGCAGUGGGGAAUCUUGCGCAAUGGGCGAAAGCCUGACGCAGCAACGCCGCGUGCGGGAUGACGGCCUUCGUGG